ACAUACCGUGCGUUCUCCUCCCCUUUAUGCCCGCGCCUCCGUGUACGGCCCGCCCAUAGCUCCUUCGACGGCGCCGCCUAGGAACGCGGAGAAAAUAUGACAAAGGAACGGCCAAAAACAAAAAGAAAGACCUUUCUUUUGAAAAAACAAACAAAAAAAAGGAAUGCAACACGAGGACUUCCCAGGAGGUCACCCAUCCUAGUACUACUCUCGCCCAAGCACGCUUAACUUCGGAGUUCUGAUGGGAUCCGGUGCUUUAGUGCUGGUAUGAUCGCAUCCGACAUACCGUGCGUUCUCCUCCCCUUUAUGCCCGCGCCUCCGUGUACGGCCCGCCCAUAGCUCCUUCGACGGCGCCGCCUAGGAACGCGGAGAAAAUAUGACAAAGGAACGGCCAAAAAUAAAAAGAAAGACCUUUCUUUUGAAAAAACAAACAAAUAAAAGGAAUGCAACACGAGGACUUCCCAGGAGGUCACCCAUCCUAGUACUACUCUCGCCCAAGCACGCUUAACUUCGGAGUUCUGAUGGGAUCCGGUGCUUUAGUGCUGGUAUGAUCGCAUCCGACAUACCGUGCGUUCUCCUCCCCUUUAUGCCCGCGCCUCCGUGUACGGCCCGCCCAUAGCUCCUUCGACGGCGCCGCCUAGGAACGCGGAGAAAAUAUGACAAAGGAACGGCCAAAAAUAAAAAGAAAGACCUUUCUUUUGAAAAAACAAACAAAUAAAAGGAAUGCAACACGAGGACUUCCCAGGAGAUCACCCAUCCUAGUACUACUCUCGCCCAAGCACGCUUAACUUCGGAGUUCUGAUGGGAUCCGGUGCUUUAGUGCUGGUAUGAUCGCAUCCGACAUACCGUGCGUUCUCCUCCCCUUUAUGCCCGCGCCUCCGUGUACGGCCCGCCCAUAGCUCCUUCGACGGCGCCGCCUAGGAACGCGGAGAAAAUAUGACAAAGGAACGGCCAAAAAUAAAAAGAAAGACCUUUCUUUUGAAAAAACAAACAAAAAAAAGGAAUGCAACACGAGGACUUCCCACGAGGUCACCCAUCCUAGUACUACUCUAGUACCAAGCACGCUUAACUUCGGAGUUCUGAUGGGAUCCGGUGCUUUAGUGCUGGUAUGAUCGCAUCCGACAUACCGUGCGUUCUCCUCCCCUUUAUGCCCGCGCCUCCGUGUACGGCCCGCCCAUAGCUCCUUCGACGGCGCCGCCUAGGAACGCGGAGAAAAUAUGACAAAGGAACGGCCAAAAAUAAAAAGAAAGACCUUUCUUUUGAAAAAACAAACAAAAAAAAGGAAUGCAACACGAGGACUUCCCAGGAGGUCACCCAUCCUAGUACUACUCUCGCCCAAGCACGCUUAACUUCGGAGUUCUGAUGGGAUCCGGUGCUUUAGUGCUGGUAUGAUCGCAUCCGACAUACCGUGCGUUCUCCUCCCCUUUAUGCCCGCGCCUCCGUGUACGGCCCGCCCAUAGCUCCUUCGACGGCGCCGCCUAGGAACGCGGAGAAAAUAUGACAAAGGAACGGCCAAAAAUAAAAAGAAAGACCUUUCUUUUGAAAAAACAAACAAAUAAAAGGAAUGCAACACGAGGACUUCCCAGGAGGUCACCCAUCCUAGUACUACUCUCGCCCAAGCACGCUUAACUUCGGAGUUCUGAUGGGAUCCGGUGCUUUAGUGCUGGUAUGAUCGCAUCCGACAUACCGUGCGUUCUCCUCCCCUUUAUGCCCGCGCCUCCGUGUACGGCCCGCCCAUAGCUCCUUCGACGGCGCCGCCUAGGAACGCGGAGAAAAUAUGACAAAGGAACGGCCAAAAAUAAAAAGAAAGACCUUUCUUUUGAAAAAACAAACAAAAAAAAGGAAUGCAACACGAGGACUUCCCAGGAGGUCACCCAUCCUAGUACUACUCUCGCCCAAGCACGCUUAACUUCGGAGUUCUGAUGGGAUCCGGUGCUUUAGUGCUGGUAUGAUCGCAUCCGACAUACCGUGCGUUCUCCUCCCCUUUAUGCCCGCGCCUCCGUGUACGGCCCGCCCAUAGCUCCUUCGACGGCGCCGCCUAGGAACGCGGAGAAAAUAUGACAAAGGAACGGCCAAAAAUAAAAAGAAAGACCUUUCUUUUGAAAAAACAAACAAAAAAAAGGAAUGCAACACGAGGACUUCCCAGGAGGUCACCCAUCCUAGUACUACUCUCGCCCAAGCACGCUUAACUUCGGAGUUCUGAUGGGAUCCGGUGCUUUAGUGCUGGUAUGAUCGCAUCCGACAUACCGUGCGUUCUCCUCCCCUUUAUGCCCGCGCCUCCGUGUACGGCCCGCCCAUAGCUCCUUCGACGGCGCCGCCUAGGAACGCGGAGAAAAUAUGACAAAGGAACGGCCAAAAAUAAAAAGAAAGACCUUUCUUUUGAAAAAACAAACAAAUAAAAGGAAUGCAACACAAGGACUUCCCAGGAGGUCACCCAUCCUAGUACUACUCUCGCCCAAGCACGCUUAACUUCGGAGUUCUGAUGGGAUCCGGUGCUUUAGUGCUGGUAUGAUCGCAUCCGACAUACCGUGCGUUCUCCUCCCCUUUAUGCCCGCGCCUCCGUGUACGGCCCGCCCAUAGCUCCUUCGACGGCGCCGCCUAGGAACGCGGAGAAAAUAUGACAAAGGAACGGCCAAAAAUAAAAAGAAAGACCUUUCUUUUGAAAAAACAAACGCCUCCGUGUACGGCCCGCCCAUAGCUCCUUCGACGGCGCCGCCUAGGAACGCGGAGAAAAUAUGACAAAGGAACGGCCAAAAAUAAAAAGAAAGACCUUUCUUUUGAAAAAACAAACAAAAAAAAGGAAUGCAACACGAGGACUUCCCAGGAGGUCACCCAUCCUAGUACUACUCUCGCCCAAGCACGCUUAACUUCGGAGUUCUGAUGGGAUCCGGUGCUUUAGUGCUGGUAUGAUCGCAUCCGACAUACCGUGCGUUCUCCUCCCCUUUAUGCCCGCGCCUCCGUGUACGGCCCGCCCAUAGCUCCUUCGACGGCGCCGCCUAGGAACGCGGAGAAAAUAUGACAAAGGAACGGCCAAAAAUAAAAAGAAAGACCUUUCUUUUGAAAAAACAAACGCCUCCGUGUACGGCCCGCCCAUAGCUCCUUCGACGGCGCCGCCUAGGAACGCGGAGAAAAUAUGACAAAGGAACGGCCAAAAAUAAAAAGAAAGACCUUUCUUUUGAAAAAACAAACAAAAAAAAGGAAUGCAACACGAGGACUUCCCAGGAGGUCACCCAUCCUAGUACUACUCUCGCCCAAGCACGCUUAACUUCGGAGUUCUGAUGGGAUCCGGUGCUUUAGUGCUGGUAUGAUCGCAUCCGACAUACCGUGCGUUCUCCUCCCCUUUAUGCCCGCGCCUCCGUGUACGGCCCGCCCAUAGCUCCUUCGACGGCGCCGCCUAGGAACGCGGAGAAAAUAUGACAAAGGAACGGCCAAAAAUAAAAAGAAAGACCUUUCUUUUGAAAAAACAAACAAAUAAAAGGAAUGCAACACGAGGACUUCCCAGGAGGUCACCCAUCCUAGUACUACUCUCGCCCAAGCACGCUUAACUUCGGAGUUCUGAUGGGAUCCGGUGCUUUAGUGCUGGUAUGAUCGCAUCCGACAUACCGUGCGUUCUCCUCCCCUUUAUGCCCGCGCCUCCGUGUACGGCCCGCCCAUAGCUCCUUCGACGGCGCCGCCUAGGAACGCGGAGAAAAUAUGACAAAGGAACGGCCAAAAAUAAAAAGAAAGACCUUUCUUUUGAAAAAACAAACAAAAAAAAAGGAAUGCAACACGAGGACUUCCCAGGAGGUCACCCAUCCUAGUACUACUCUCGCCCAAGCACGCUUAACUUCGGAGUUCUGAUGGGAUCCGGUGCUUUAGUGCUGGUAUGAUCGCAUCCGACAUACCGUGCGUUCUCCUCCCCUUUAUGCCCGCGCCUCCGUGUACGGCCCGCCCAUAGCUCCUUCGACGGCGCCGCCUAGGAACGCGGAGAAAAUAUGACAAAGGAACGGCCAAAAAUAAAAAGAAAGACCUUUCUUUUGAAAAAACAAACAAAAAAAAGGAAUGCAACACGAGGACUUCCCAGGAGGUCACCCAUCCUAGUACUACUCUCGCCCAAGCACGCUUAACUUCGGAGUUCUGAUGGGAUCCGGUGCUUUAGUGCUGGUAUGAUCGCAUCCGACAUACCGUGCGUUCUCCUCCCCUUUAUGCCCGCGCCUCCGUGUACGGCCCGCCCAUAGCUCCUUCGACGGCGCCGCCUAGGAACGCGGAGAAAAUAUGACAAAGGAACGGCCAAAAAUAAAAAGAAAGACCUUUCUUUUGAAAAAACAAACAAAAAAAAGGAAUGCAACACGAGGACUUCCCAGGAGGUCACCCAUCCUAGUACUACUCUCGCCCAAGCACGCUUAACUUCGGAGUUCUGAUGGGAUCCGGUGCUCUAGUGCUGGUAUGAUCGCAUCCGACAUACCGUGCGUUCUCCUCCCCUUUAUGCCCGCGCCUCCGUGUACGGCCCGCCCAUAGCUCCUUCGACGGCGCCGCCUAGGAACGCGGAGAAAAUAUGACAAAGGAACGGCCAAAAAUAAAAAGAAAGACCUUUCUUUUGAAAAAACAAACAAAAAAAAAGGAAUGCAACACGAGGACUUCCCAGGAGGUCACCCAUCCUAGUACUACUCUCGCCCAAGCACGCUUAACUUCGGAGUUCUGAUGGGAUCCGGUGCUUUAGUGCUGGUAUGAUCGCAUCCGACAUACCGUGCGUUCUCCUCCCCUUUAUGCCCGCGCCUCCGUGUACGGCCCGCCCAUAGCUCCUUCGACGGCGCCGCCUAGGAACGCGGAGAAAAUAUGACAAAGGAACGGCCAAAAAUAAAAAGAAAGACCUUUCUUUUGAAAAAACAAACAAAUAAAAGGAAUGCAACACGAGGACUUCCUAGGAGGUCACCCAUCCUAGUACUACUCUCGCCCAAGCACGCUUAACUUCGGAGUUCUAAUGGGAUCCGGUGCUUUAGUGCUGGUAUGAUCGCAUCCGACAUACCGUGCGUUCUCCUCCCCUUUAUGCCCGCGCCUCCGUGUACGGCCCGCCCAUAGCUCCUUCGACGGCGCCGCCUAGGAACGCGGAGAAAAUAUGACAAAGGAACGGCCAAAAAUAAAAAGAAAGACCUUUCUUUUGAAAAAACAAACAAAAAAAAGGAAUGCAACACGAGGACUUCCCAGGAGGUCACCCAUCCUAGUACUACUCUCGCCCAAGCACGCUUAACUUCGGAGUUCUGAUGGGAUCCGGUGCUUUAGUGCUGGUAUGAUCGCAUCCGACAUACCGUGCGUUCUCCUCCCCUUUAUGCCCGCGCCUCCGUGUACGGCCCGCCCAUAGCUCCUUCGACGGCGCCGCCUAGGAACGCGGAGAAAAUAUGACAAAGGAACGGCCAAAAAUAAAAAGAAAGACCUUUCUUUUGAAAAAACAAACAAAAAAAAGGAAUGCAACACGAGGACUUCCCAGGAGGUCACCCAUCCUAGUACUACUCUCGCCCAAGCACGCUUAACUUCGGAGUUCUGAUGGGAUCCGGUGCUUUAGUGCUGGUAUGAUCGCAUCCGACAUACCGUGCGUUCUCCUCCCCUUUAUGCCCGCGCCUCCGUGUACGGCCCGCCCAUAGCUCCUUCGACGGCGCCGCCUAGGAACGCGGAGAAAAUAUGACAAAGGAACGGCCAAAAAUAAAAAGAAAGACCUUUCUUUUGAAAAAACAAACAAAAAAAAGGAAUGCAACACGAGGACUUCCCAGGAGGUCACCCAUCCUAGUACUACUCUCGCCCAAGCACGCUUAACUUCGGAGUUCUGAUGGGAUCCGGUGCUUUAGUGCUGGUAUGAUCGAAUCCGACAUACCGUGCGUUCUCCUCCCCUUUAUGCCCGCGCCUCCGUGUACGGUCCGCCCAUAGCUCCUUCGACGGCGCCGCCUAGGAACGCGGAGAAAAUAUGACAAAGGAACGGCCAAAAAUAAAAAGAAAGACCUUUCUUUUGAAAAAACAAACAAAUAAAAGGAAUGCAACACGAGGACUUCCCAGGAGGUCACCCAUCCUAGUACUACUCUCGCCCAAGCACGCUUAACUUCGGAGUUCUGAUGGGAUCCGGUGCUUUAGUGCUGGUAUGAUCGCAUCCGACAUACCGUGCGUUCUCCUCCCCUUUAUGCCCGCGCCUCCGUGUACGGCCCGCCCAUAGCUCCUUCGACGGCGCCGCCUAGGAACGCGGAGAAAAUAUGACAAAGGAACGGCCAAAAAUAAAAAGAAAGACCUUUCUUUUGAAAAAACAAACAAAUAAAAGGAAUGCAACACGAGGACUUCCCAGGAGGUCACCCAUCCUAGUACUACUCUCGCCCAAGCACGCUUAACUUCGGAGUUCUGAUGGGAUCCGGUGCUUUAGUGCUGGUAUGAUCGCAUCCGACAUACCGUGCGUUCUCCUCCCCUUUAUGCCCGCGCCUCCGUGUACGGCCCGCCCAUAGCUCCUUCGACGGCGCCGCCUAGGAACGCGGAGAAAAUAUGACAAAGGAACGGCCAAAAAUAAAAAGAAAGACCUUUCUUUUGAAAAAACAAACAAAAAAAAGGAAUGCAGCACCAGGACUUCCCGGAAGGUCACCCAUCCAAAUACAACUCUCGCCGAACCACGUUUAACUUCGAAUUUCUAAUGGAAUCCGGGGCUUUAGAGCUGGAAUGAUCGCAUCCGACAUACCGUGCGUUCUCCUCCCCUUUAUGCCCGCGCCUCCGUGUACGGCCCGCCCAUAGCUCCUUCGACGGCGCCGCCUAGGAACGCGGAGAAAAUAUGACAAAGGAGCGGCCAAAAAUAAAAAGAAAGACCUUUCUUUUGAAAAAACAAACAAAUAAAAGGAAUGCAACACGAGGACUUCCUAGGAGGUCACCCAUCCUAGUACUACUCUCGCCCAAGCACGCUUAACUUCGGAGUUCUGAUGGGAUCCGGUGCUUUAGUGCUGGUAUGAUCGCAUCCGACAUACCGUGCGUUCUCCUCCCCUUUAUGCCCGCGCCUCCGUGUACGGCCCGCCCAUAGCUCCUUCGACGGCGCCGCCUAGGAACGCGGAGAAAAUAUGACAAAGGAACGGCCAAAAAUAAAAAGAAAGACCUUUCUUUUGAAAAAACAAACGCCUCCGUGUACGGCCCGCCCAUAGCUCCUUCGACGGCGCCGCCUAGGAACGCGGAGAAAAUAUGACAAAGGAACGGCCAAAAAUAAAAAGAAAGACCUUUCUUUUGAAAAAACAAACAAAAAAAAGGAAUGCAACACGAGGACUUCCCAGGAGGUCACCCAUCCUAGUACUACUCUCGCCCAAGCACGCUUAACUUCGGAGUUCUGAUGGGAUCCGGUGCUUUAGUGCUGGUAUGAUCGCAUCCGACAUACCGUGCGUUCUCCUCCCCUUUAUGCCCGCGCCUCCGUGUACGGCCCGCCCAUAGCUCCUUCGACGGCGCCGCCUAGGAACGCGGAGAAAAUAUGACAAAGGAACGGCCAAAAAUAAAAAGAAAGACCUUUCUUUUGAAAAAACAAACAAAUAAAAGGAAUGCAACACGAGGACUUCCCAGGAGGUCACCCAUCCUAGUACUACUCUCGCCCAAGCACGCUUAACUUCGGAGUUCUGAUGGGAUCCGGUGCUUUAGUGCUGGUAUGAUCGCAUUCGACAUACCGAUGCGUUCUCAUCCCCGUUAUGCGCCGCGCCUCUGUGUACGGCCCGCCCAUAGCUCCUUUGACUGCGCCUCGUAGGAUCGCGGAGAAUAUAUGACAAAGGCACGGCCAAACAUAAAACGAAAGACCUCUCUUUUGCAACAACAAACAAAAUAAAGGAAUGCAACACGAGGACUUCCCAGGAGGUCACCCAUCCUAGUACUAGUCUCGCUCAAGCACGCUGAUCUUCGGAGUUCUGAUGGGAUCCGGUGCUUUAGUGCUGGUAUGAUCGCAUCCGACAUACCGUGCGUUCUCCUCCCCUUUAUGCCCGCGCCUCCGUGUACGGCCCGCCCAUAGCUCCUUCGACGGCGCCGCCUAGGAACGCGGAGAAAAUAUGACAAAGGAACGGCCAAAAAUAAAAAGAAAGACCUUUCUUUUGAAAAAACAAACAAAAAAAAGGAAUGCAACACGAGGACUUCCCAGGAGGUCACCCAUCCUAGUACUACUCUCGCCCAAGCACGCUUAACUUCGGAGUUCUGAUGGGAUCCGGUGCUUUAGUGCUGGUAUGAUCGCAUCCGACAUACCGUGCGUUCUCCUCCCCUUUAUGCCCGCGCCUCCGUGUACGGCCCGCCCAUAGCUCCUUCGACGGCGCCGCCUAGGAACGCGGAGAAAAUAUGACAAAGGAACGGCCAAAAAUAAAAAGAAAGACCUUUCUUUUGAAAAAACAAACAAAUAAAAGGAAUGCAACACGAGGACUUCCCAGGAGGUCACCCAUCCUAGUACUACUCUCGCCCAAGCACGCUUAACUUCGGAGUUCUGAUGGGAUCCGGUGCUUUAGUGCUGGUAUGAUCGCAUCCGACAUACCGUGCGUUCUCCUCCCCUUUAUGCCCGCGCCUCCGUGUACGGCCCGCCCAUAGCUCCUUCGACGAGCCCGCCUAGGAACGCGGAGAAAAUAUGACAAAGGAACGGCCAAAAAUAAAAAGAAAGACCUUUCUUUUGAAAAAACAAACAAAUAAAAGGAAUGCAACACGAGGACUUCCCAGGAGGUCACCCAUCCUAGUACUACUCUCGCCCAAGCACGCUUAACUUCGGAGUUCUGAUGGGAUCCGGUGCUUUAGUGCUGGUAUGAUCGCAUCCGACAUACCGUGCGUUCUCCUCCCCUUUAUGCCCGCGCCUCCGUGUACGGCCCGCCCAUAGCUCCUUCGACGGCGCCGCCUAGGAACGCGGAGAAAAUAUGACAAAGGAACGGCCAAAAAUAAAAAGAAAGACCUUUCUUUUGAAAAAACAAACAAAAAAAAGGAAUGCAACACGAGGACUUCCCAGGAGGUCACCCAUCCUAGUACUACUCUCGCCCAAGCACGCUUAACUUCGGAGUUCUGAUGGGAUCCGGUGCUUUAGUGCUGGUAUGAUCGCAUCCGACAUACCGUGCGUUCUCCUCCCCUUUAUGCCCGCGCCUCCGUGUACGGCCCGCCCAUAGCUCCUUCGACGGCGCCGCCUAGGAACGCGGAGAAAAUAUGACAAAGGAACGGCCAAAAAUAAAAAGAAAGACCUUUCUUUUGAAAAAACAAACAAAUAAAAGGAAUGCAACACGAGGACUUCCCAGGAGGUCACCCAUCCUAGUACUACUCUCGCCCAAGCACGCUUAACUUCGGAGUUCUGAUGGGAUCCGGUGCUUUAGUGCUGGUAUGAUCGCAUCCGACAUACCGUGCGUUCUCCUCCCCUUUAUGCCCGCGCCUCCGUGUACGGCCCGCCCAUAGCUCCUUCGACGGCGCCGCCUAGGAACGCGGAGAAAAUAUGACAAAGGAACGGCCAAAAAUAAAAAGAAAGACCUUUCUUUUGAAAAAACAAACAAAUAAAAGGAAUGCAACACGAGGACUUCCCAGGAGGUCACCCAUCCUAGUACUACUCUCGCCCAAGCACGCUUAACUUCGGAGUUCUGAUGGGAUCCGGUGCUUUAGUGCUGGUAUGAUCGCAUCCGACAUACCGUGCGUUCUCCUCCCCUUUAUGCCCGCGCCUCCGUGUACGGUCCGCCCAUAGCUCUUUAGUUGGCGCCUCCUAGGAACGCGGAGAAAAUAUGACAAAGGAACGGCCAAAAAUAAAAAGAAAGACCUUUCUUUUGAAAAAACAAACGCCUCCGUGUACGGCCCGCCCAUAGCUCCUUCGACGGCGCCGCCUAGGAACGCGGAGAAAAUAUGACAAAGGAACGGCCAAAAAUAAAAAGAAAGACCUUUCUUUUGAAAAAACAAACAAAAAAAAGGAAUGCAACACGAGGACUUCCCAGGAGGUCACCCAUCCUAGUACUACUCUCGCCCAAGCACGCUUAACUUCGGAGUUCUGAUGGGAUCCGGUGCUUUAGUGCUGGUAUGAUCGCAUCCGACAUACCGUGCGUUCUCCUCCCCUUUAUGCCCGCGCCUCCGUGUACGGCCCGCCCAUAGCUCCUUCGACGGCGCCGCCUAGGAACGCGGAGAAAAUAUGACAAAGGAACGGCCAAAAAUAAAAAGAAAGACCUUUCUUUUGAAAAAACAAACAAAUAAAAGGAAUGCAACACGAGGAGUUCCCAGGAGGUCACCCAUCCUAGUACUACUCUCGCCCAAGCACGCUUAACUUCGGAGUUCUGAUGGGAUCCGGUGCUUUAGUGCUGGUAUGAUCGCAUCCGACAUACCGUGCGUUCUCCUCCCCUUUAUGCCCGCGCCUCCGUGUACGGCCCGCCCAUAGCUCCUUCGAUGGCGCCGCCUAGGAACGCGGAGAAAAUAUGACAAAGGAACGGCCAAAAAUAAAAAGAAAGACCUUUCUUUUGAAAAAACAAACGCCUCCGUGUACGGCCCGCCCAUAGCUCCUUCGACGGCGCCGCCUAGGAACGCGGAGAAAAUAUGACAAAGGAACGGCCAAAAAUAAAAAGAAAGACCUUUCUUUUGAAAAAACAAACAAAAAAAAGGAAUGCAACACGAGGACUUCCCAGGAGGUCACCCAUCCUAGUACUACUCUCGCCCAAGCACGCUUAACUUCGGAGUUCGGAUGGGAUCCGGUGCUUUAGUGCUGGUAUGAUCGCAUCCGACAUACCGUGCGUUCUCCUCCCCUUUAUGCCCGCGCCUCCGUGUACGGCCCGCCCAUAGCUCCUUCGACGGCGCCGCCUAGGAACGCGGAGAAAAUAUGACAAAGGAACGGCCAAAAAUAAAAAGAAAGACCUUUCUUUUGAAAAAACAAACAAAUAAAAGGAAUGCAACACGAGGACUUCCCAGGAGGUCACCCAUCCUAGUACUACUCUCGCCCAAGCACGCUUAACUUCGGAGUUCUGAUGGGAUCCGGUGCUUUAGUGCUGGUAUGAUCGCAUCCGACAUACCGUGCGUUCUCCUCCCCUUUAUGCCCGCGCCUCCGUGUACGGCCCGCCCAUAGCUCCUUCGACGGCGCCGCCUAGGAACGCGGAGAAAAUAUGACAAAGGAACGGCCAAAAAUAAAAAGAAAGACCUUUCUUUUGAAAAAACAAACAAAAAAAAGGAAUGCAACACGAGGACUUCCCAGGAGGUCACCCAUCCUAGUACUACUCUCGCCCAAGCACGCUUAACUUCGCAGUUCUGAUGGGAUCCGGUGCUUUAGUGCUGGUAUGAUCGCAUCCGACAUACCGUGCGUUCUCCUCCCCUUUAUGCCCGCGCCUCCGUGUACGGCCCGCCCAUAGCUCCUUCGACGGCGCCGCCUAGGAACGCGGAGAAAAUAUGACAAAGGAACGGCCAAAAAUAAAAAGAAAGACCUUUCUUUUGAAAAAACAAACGGCUCCGUGUACGGCCCGCCCAUAGCUCCUUCGACGGCGCCGCCUAGGAACGCGGAGAAAAUAUGACAAAGGAACGGCCAAAAAUAAAAAGAAAGACCUUUCUUUUGAAAAAACAAACAAAA
rnacentral:lncRNA from 1 species